GAUGAACGCUAGCGACAGGCUUAACACAUGCAAGUCGAGGGGCAGCGGGGAUGAAGCUUGCUUCAUCCGCCGGCGACCGGCGCACGGGUGAGUAACACGUAUGCAACCUGCCCCUGGCUGGGGGGUAAGCCGGAGAAAUCCGGUCUAAUACCGCGUAACAUCCUUACGGGACAUCCCGUUAGGAUCAAAGGAAGCGAUUCCGGCCAGGGAUGGGCAUGCGGCGCAUUAGCUAGUCGGCGGGGUAGCGGCCCACCGAGGCGACGAUGCGUAGGGGUUCUGAGAGGAAGGUCCCCCACACUGGUACUGAGACACGGACCAGACUCCUACGGGAGGCAGCAGUGAGGAAUAUUGGUCAAUGGGCGCGAGCCUGAACCAGCCAAGUCGCGUGAGGGAAGACGGUCCUAUGGAUUGUAAACCUCUUUUGCCGGGGAGCAAGCUGAGUCACGUGUGGCUCAGCUGAGAGUACCCGGAGAAAAAGCAUCGGCUAACUCCGUGCCAGCAGCCGCGGUAAUACGGAGGAUGCGAGCGUUAUCCGGAUUUAUUGGGUUUAAAGGGUGCGUAGGCGGACUGUCAAGUCAGCGGUAAAAUUGAGAGGCUCAACCUCUUCCCGCCGUUGAAACUGGUGGUCUUGAGUGGAUGAGAAGUACGCGGAAUGCGUGGUGUAGCGGUGAAAUGCAUAGAUAUCACGCAGAACUCCGAUUGCGAAGGCAGCGUACCGGCAUCCAACUGACGCUGAGGCACGAAAGCGUGGGGAUCAAACAGGAUUAGAUACCCUGGUAGUCCACGCAGUAAACGAUGAAUGCUAGGUGUCCGGGUCGAGUGAGACCUGGGUGCCACAGCGAAAGCGUUAAGCAUUCCACCUGGGGAGUACGCCGGCAACGGUGAAACUCAAAGGAAUUGACGGGGGCCCGCACAAGCGGAGGAACAUGUGGUUUAAUUCGAUGAUACGCGAGGAACCUUACCCGGGCUCAAACGUCGGAGGACGGAGAGUGAAAGCUUUCUUUCCCACGGGACUUCCGACGAGGUGCUGCAUGGUUGUCGUCAGCUCGUGCCGUGAGGUGUCGGCUUAAGUGCCAUAACGAGCGCAACCCCCAUCGCCAGUUGCUAACAGGUCAAGCUGAGGACUCUGGCGAGACUGCCGGCGCAAGCUGUGAGGAAGGCGGGGAUGACGUCAAAUCAGCACGGCCCUUACGUCCGGGGCGACACACGUGUUACAAUGGCGGGGACAGCGGGAAGCCACCUGGCGACAGGGAGCGGAACCCGAAACCCCGUCUCAGUUCGGAUUGGAGUCUGCAACCCGACUCCAUGAAGCUGGAUUCGCUAGUAAUCGCGCAUCAGCCACGGCGCGGUGAAUACGUUCCCGGGCCUUGUACACACCGCCCGUCAAGCCAUGGAAGCCGGGGGUGCCUGAAGUGCGUGACCGCAAGGAGCGCCCUAGGGUAAAACUGGUGACUGGGGCU
rnacentral:rRNA from 1 species